UAAGAGGUCCCGCCUGCCCGGUGACUAAUAGUUUAACGGCCGCGGUAUAUUGACCGUGCGAAGGUAGCGUAAUCACUUGUCUUUUAAAUGAAGACCCGUAUGAAUGGCAUAACGAGGGCUUAACUGUCUCCUUUUUCCAGUCAAUGAAAUUGAUCUCCCCGUGCAGAAGCGGGGAUGAAAACAUAAGACGAGAAGACCCUGUGGAGCUUUAGACACCAAAGCAGACCAUCCUGUCACUCCCCUAGACAAAAGAAUUUGACUAAAUGACCCCUGCCCUAAUGUCUUCGGUUGGGGCGACCAUGGGGAAGUACAAAACCCCCACGUGGAACGAGAGAACUCUCAAAACCAAGAGCUACAACUCUAAUAAACAGAAUUUCUGACCAAAAAUGAUCCGGGAUUACCGAUCAACGGACCAAGUUACCCCAGGGAUAACAGCGCAAUCCUCUUCUAGAGUCCAUAUCGACAAGGGGGUUUACGACCUCGAUGUUGGAUCAGGACAUCCUAAUGGUGCAG
rnacentral:rRNA from 1 species